GACAGGGGUGCCUAAGAGGCUGAGAUUAAACCCUUAUAACUUGUUCAGGAUAAUACCUGCGAAAGGAGACAA
rnacentral:ncRNA from 1 species